rnacentral:rRNA from 1 species
CGUGUAGGCGGGAAGGAAAGUCAGAUGUGAAAUCCCUGGGCUCAACCCAGGAACUGCAUUUGAAACUCCCUUUCUUGAGUGUCGGAGAGGAAAGUGGAAUUCCUGGUGUAGAGGUGAAAUUCGUAGAUAUCAGGAGGAACACCGGUGGCGAAGGCGGCUUUCUGGACGACAACUGACGCUGAGACGCGAAAGCGUGGGGAAGCAAACAG